rnacentral:ncRNA from 1 species
AUAAAUAAUUCUAUAAAAUAGGCUCCUUAAAACAGUGAUGUUUUAAUGAAAAAUGGGGAGAAUUGCAAGAACGUCUUUUUACGAAGAAAAUUUGCAGCGGAGCUUGAUUCGGUAUUUAUAUGAAUCAAGAACGUUCAACGACUAAUGGGUGAGUUAUACCAACAAUAAGCCCGACACGAGAACCCCACAACUUAGAAACCGUUUCUUGUAUAUUAUAAUAUCUUAUUUUAUAGAGAAAGAGAAAGAAAGAAAGUUAAGUUGAAGACAUAGUCUAAGCUUUUGAUAUUCCUUUUCUGGGGG